GACGAACGCUGGCGGCGUGCUUAACACAUGCAAGUCGAACGCUGAAGACCUGGCUUUUGUUGGGUUGGAUGAGUGGCGAACGGGUGAGUAACACGUGAGUAACCUGCCCUCUUCUUUGGGAUAACGCCCGGAAACGGGUGCUAAUACUGGAUAUUCACUGAUCUUCGCAUGGGGGUUGGUGGAAAGGUUUGUUCUGGUGGGGGAUGGGCUCGCGGCCUAUCAGCUUGUUGGUGGGGUGAUGGCCUACCAAGGCUUUGACGGGUAGCCGGCCUGAGAGGGUGACCGGGCACAUUGGGACUGAGAUACGGCCCAGACUCCUACGGGAGGCAGCAGUGGGGAAUAGUGCACAAUGGGCGAAAGCCUGAUGCAGCGACGCCGCGUGAGGGAUGGAGGCCUUCGGGUUGUAAACCUCUUUCGCUCAUGGUCAAGCCGCAACUGUGGGUUGUGGUGAGGGUAGUGGGUAAAGAAGCGCCGGCUAACUACGUG
rnacentral:rRNA from 1 species